CCAUAGGACAUGCAUACCGAUUUUGCAGUUUUGUCUACUAACUCGGGGUAUUUUUCUUUUGUUUCCCCCCUCCCUUGCAUUCAUAAAAAUAUUUCAAUAAGACGGAAAUAUUCUUCUAUAUCUGAUGAUAAUUUUAAUCCAAUGAAGUUUGAAGAUUACAAGUGUUAUUUGAUUCUUGGGCGGGUCCUACGAUGAAAACCCUCUGAGAAAUGUUGUAAUUGUUUUCCAAAGGAAAGUUUUGUAUAUUUGAAAAAGGAGACAAAAAGUGUAUAUGUGGAGCUCUUUACAAUUUUCUCUCUUCUCAUUUGUAUCGUAAUUGAAUGAGAAAUUUUGUUUCAAACUUUUUCAGCAAUAAAUUUUUUGGACAAU
rnacentral:lncRNA from 1 species